UAAUGUGAGAUCUGGUUCAGGACAAGCUGGAUAGCAAUUGAUGGCCAUUAGUUGAUUGCCUUCUUCAAUUUCCUUCUGUAAGUUGCCAAAGUUCAAUCCUAAAGUUUCUAAGAUGGCUUCCAUCAGUUGCUUGUGUAGCACUUGUACUGCCUUUGCGUAGUUUCCCAUUUUAUCCCUUAUGGAAAAAAUAGUUUAAAGUCAAUGCAUCACAAUAGUUUGAGAAUGAUUGGAAAUGCAUAAAAAACGGAAACCAUGUGUUGCUUCAACAGAAAAGAAAAAAAGACAAAAGGAGAAGCUAUAAUUUGUCUUUUCUAUUUCCUCUUUUGUUGUUUCUUCCUUCUGGAAGAUUUGGAAGGCAUGCAUUAUAGUUCUUAGACCUAGAAGAUGCCAAUUUUAGCCACAUUUAAGACUUAUGCUUAUGAAGUACCAAUCAGAAUUGCUCCUCUUGUGUUGUUUCCAAUUUUGCCCUUAAGAUGGAAGGUAAUUACUUCUAACAAAUAAUUUAAGAGAUCCAAGAUAAUGAUGGCUUGCUUACUUGUAACUUGGAGGAUUUGAAGGCCAUAGAUGGAUCCAAUCAGAAAUAGGGUGGGAGUAAUGCUUGAUGAAGUCUCUCCAAUAGUGAACUUUAUCGCUUGCAUGAUUCAAACUGGUACCAUACCUUACAGGGUUAUGCACAUUAUCUGAUAAUAGAGUCAUUUUCUCCUCGAGAGACAAGUUGAAAAACUCUGUUGCAGCAGCAAGGGCGUCAUGGAUGACGGGGAGAGGGAUGCCAUGGUUAACCACCUUAAAAAAAAAUGUGCGUGCUUUUAUGUGGACAAUAUUAUAUAAGCAUGCAUGAAUUAUGAUGUCUUGCUAUUAUAUGUAAUAUUAAAUUGUAUUGAAGCUUUUUCAGUAAGCAAGCAUCCCCCAUAUUGAUGUUGUGCUUUGUUGUCUGGGGUGUCAAGUAGAACAUAUAUGGUAUAUAUGGUAUAACUGUAAAUUUUCAAUUUAAACUCAUACACCCACAUACAUAUUGUGUGAUUCAGUUGGAAUGCUAAACCGAUAAACACACAAAAUAACAUUCAUAACAUCUAUCUUAUAUAUGCUGAAAAAAAUACAGUUACACUAAUGUAGACUUGGGGCUACAGUAAACUAAACUUGUUAACCCUGAAUGAUACCUGAAAGAACCCAAGUUCCUUACAGGCGCCUUGUAUCGUAUCAAGUGUUAGAGAUCUUUGAGAAGCAUGGUGUAAGGUGGAAAGGUCUACAAUGGGAAGGGUUGUGGUGAGGUCAAGUGCAAGGGUCGGACGUUGCGAUGGAGGAAGAACAUAGCGUUGAGGCACAUGAGGUACCCUCAUCUUGGUAAGUGUCAUUACACUAGUAAAUGGGUUAUCCGAGCAUUCUCCCUCUCCUUCCAUACUUGAUAUAUCUUUGCUAGUAAAUAGCGAAUGAUCAGUUGUAGCAGCCUGUUCUUCCUAUUUAUAUGCUAGACGUAACUAUCAGGUUAUGUACAGUUGCAAUGUAUAUUGAUAUGGAGCUGUGAUCUUAAACAUUAUAUGUUGCGUGUUGUUCAUAAAUGCGCAGGAAAGAAGAAUAUAGCAAGAGAAGCCACAGAAGAACUUUAAGCAUGAGGGCGUGAAAAGGACAAAGGUGAACGCGGGACCCACGCGAAAACGCUAUGAUGUUAAACCUGAAUGGGUACCGAAAACAAAGUUGCUAUACAUUUGGGGGCUGUGACACACACACACGCAAUUAUGGAGCUCGAAGAUGUUUUUAGUAUACCACCAUAUUUCUAAACGUCAGACAUGAGGCAUUUGUUCAUGUGGAAACUAGUGGAAGAAUUAAAAUAUUUAUAUAUUUUUUAACUUAUGCUGGUAUGAUAUACUGAUGUAGUUAACAUUGAAUUUGUAUCAAUUCUAUGCUGCUGCGUCUACCUUGUUUGAAGAUGAUGUUGAAAUUACAUCACUAACCCUCGGUUUCUUCUCUACUAG
rnacentral:lncRNA from 1 species